rnacentral:rRNA from 1 species
UACGGAGGGGGCUAGCGUUGCUCGGAUUGACUGGGCGUAAAGGGCGCGUAGGCGGUUUGUACAGUCAGACGUGAAAUUCCCGGGCUCAACCUGGGGGCUGCGUUUGAUACGUGCGGACUUGAGUUCGGAAGAGGGUCGUGGAAUUCCCAGUGUAGAGGUGAAAUUCGUAGAUAUUGGGAAGAACACCGGUGGCGAAGGCGGCGACCUGGUCCGAUACUGACGCUGAGGCGCGAAAGCGUGGGGAGCAAACAGG